GUUUAAUUAUGAAUUGUUUUCUUCUGUACUUUUUGUUUGAGUUGGAUUUGUGAUAAAAUUGCGUCUUUUGUUUGAGUUUGAAUUCAACUUUAAACAGGCUCAAUGAAGGAGCAAGUAAGUACUUGAAUGAGAAAAAAUGAUCUGAAUUUGGUUAUCCAGUUAAUAUAGCUUAGUGGAAUUCAUUCAUCAGCAUUAAUUAAGCAAACAGUGCUUAAUGUUGAAUUUUUGAAAACCCUGAAAUUGCCUCUCCUAAUAUAUAUGCCUACACCAGCAGGAUUUAAUACAUCAAGGGCAGUAGAGUAACUAAGGUAAUAGAAAUCCUAGAAUGACAACAACACAGUACAGGUUUUGCCACGUUCAGCCAAAACCAAGAUUGCAGUUAUAACUUUCCCGCUCUCACCAAAACCGCUUAUUCCUAAGCAAAAGACAGGUUUUUCUUUGCCACGAGUUGCAAUAAGGUUUUGCUAUGACAUGUAUACAAUCAGGUACAUAUGUUCUUCUAAUUUAUCACUUUUGCUUGAUUUUCAUUGAACGAUUGAUUGUUCUUCUCCUUGGCUCAGUUCGUUGAGACAAUGAUUCUUGCUAAAUAAUAAGGGAAAGGGAUAGAAAGGCUAGCGCAAGCAUUGAAAGUCUCAAAUUUCUUUAGCUGUGAUCAGCAGAUCAUUAUCAUAUUUCAUCCAUUCCUCAAUUUUGCAUAUGUCAGUAUACAUUAUUUUUCCUUAUUUGUGUUUGAAGACAACAUUGUGAUUCAUCUGUAUGCCUAAUCAUCACCUUAUUAAUUGCUGAUCUCUUCUUAUUUUUGCCUCUAGAUUUUUUUCUUCUUUUGUUCAAAGCUGAAGGUUUUUGAGAAUUCUAAAUUCAUGACUUGAUGAGCACUUGGUGGUUCUUCUUCUUCCAAGGCUUUUUCUGAACCCAAGUGUUCUUGAGAAAAACAAGAAGGGGCAAGAGACCUAGAAAGGGAGGCAACCGAUUCUGGAAGAGUAUUGGGCUGUGCACCAAGAACCACAGGGAUGCCAUUCAAGGAUACUAAGGAAGGGUACGUAUGCUUUUACAAGGAAGGCUUCAAUUCAGUUUAUGCUUUCAAUCUGAGACGUGUUACUCUAUGACGUUGUCUUGGUUGCCAUCAGUCGAAUACAGUUAAUCGAAGACAAAGUUCGGUUAUGUCAAGCUCUCAUCCAAACUUUCCACAUUUCACUUGGAAUCUUGCAGCUUAGGCAUACAACGAAAUUAGUAGUACUUGAAUUAUUGAUGAUCACGUACUAUUUUUUAUUCUAAUUAGCAGUCUUGAUGGGAAAAUCUGUAGUUCACUUUUUCAACUACAAACUGAAAGAAGCUUCUUGCAAUAAUGACAUCUGGUUU
rnacentral:lncRNA from 1 species